rnacentral:rRNA from 1 species
UACGUAGGGUGCGAGCGUUGUUCGGAAUUACUGGGCGUAAAGGGCUCGUAGGCGGCCAACUAAGUCAGACGUGAAAUCCCCGGGCUUAACCUGGGAACUGCAUUGGUGACUGGCGGGCUAGAGUAUGGCAGAGGGGGGUAGAAUUCCACGUGUAGCAGUGAAAUGCGUAGAGAUGUGGAGGAAUACCGAUGGCGAAGGCAGCCCCCUGGGCCAAUACUGACGCUCAUGCACGAAAGCGUGGGGAGCAAACAGG